rnacentral:rRNA from 1 species
CACGUAGGGUGCGAGCGUUUGUCCGGAAUUAUUGGGCGUAAAGAGCUCGUAGGCGGUGUGUCGCGUCGGCCGUGAAAACCUACAGCUUAACUGUGGGCUUGCAGUCGAUACGGGCAGACUUGAGUUCGGUAGGGGAGACUGGAAUUCCUGGUGUAGCGGUGAAAUGCGCAGAUAUCAGGAGGAACACCGGUGGCGAAAGGGCGGGGUCUCUGGGGCAACAACUGACGCUGAGGAGCGAAAGCAUGGGGAGCGAACAGG